rnacentral:piRNA from 2 species
UACUCUGGUUUCUCUUCAGAUCG